ACAAAAAUGCACAUAUUGUGAGCUCGAUGAGUAGGGCGGGACACGUGGUAUCCUGUCUGAAUAUGGGGGGACCAUCCUCCAAGGCUAAAUACUCCUGACUGACCGAUAGUGAACCAGUACCGUGAGGGAAAGGCGAAAAGAACCCCGGCGAGGGGAGUGAAAAAGAACCUGAAACCGUGUACGUACAAGCAGUGGGAGCCUCUUAAUGGGGUGACUGCGUACCUUUUGUAUAAUGGGUCAGCGACUUAUAUUCUGUAGCAAGGUUAACCGAAUAGGGGAGCCGAAGGGAAACCGAGUCUUAACUGGGCGUUAAGUUGCAGGGUAUAGACCCGAAACCCGGUGAUCUAGCCAUGGGCAGGUUGAAGGUUGGGUAACACUAACUGGAGGACCGAACCGACUAAUGUUGAAAAAUUAGCGGAUGACUUGUGGCUGGGGGUGAAAGGCCAAUCAAACCGGGAGAUAGCUGGUUCUCCCCGAAAGCUAUUUAGGUAGCGCCUCGUGAAUUCAUCUCCGGGGGUAGAGCACUGUUUCGGCAAGGGGGUCAUCCCGACUUACCAACCCGAUGCAAACUGCGAAUACCGGAGAAUGUUAUCACGGGAGACACACGGCGGGUGCUAACGUCCGUCGUGAAGAGGGAAACAACCCAGACCGCCAGCUAAGGUCCCAAAGUCAUGGUUAAGUGGGAAACGAUGUGGGAAGGCCCAGACAGCCAGGAUGUUGGCUUAGAAGCAGCCAUCAUUUAAAGAAAGCGUAAUAGCUCACUGGUCGAGUCGGCCUGCGCGGAAGAUGUAACGGGGCUAAACCAUG
rnacentral:rRNA from 1 species